CUGAGUGAUUGGUUAGCUGACUAGCUAACCAAGAUUUCAGCAGAGGAGGAGAAAGAGUCUGCAUGGAUUCCAGCUGAAAAUUUCUACAAGCAAAUGAAGGGAAGAUGUUGCUUUUGACUCAGCAGACUGUAGAGAUUUCGUGAUUAAAGACUCUAACUGAGAUUCAGGCGUUCGGUGCUUUUUUAAGUGUGGGCAGAGAUGCACUAAAAUGGAUUUCAAAGAGGAACGAAUUCCGCAGCGUUGAGGUCAUCAUCACAGCAAAGGGACGACUGCCUUUCAAAUGAGGGCCCAAUCCUGUGCUGCUUCACGCAAGACAACUUACAGAAACACAACUCAGCUUUCAUUUUCCACCUCAUCCCUUAAUCCCUCUGAAUUCUAUUGUGCUUAUCACUUCAUCAGAAAGCCUGAGAGGCUGAUUGGGCUGUGGAAAUUGUAUUUACGCUCUUCUCGAGGAAGCAUCUCUCCGUAUAUGAAUAAUAAAUCA